rnacentral:rRNA from 1 species
UACGAAGGGGGCGAGCGUUGUUCGGAUUUACUGGGCGUAAAGGGCGCGUAGGCGGCCCUCCUUGUCGCGUGUGAAAGCCCCGGGCUCAACCUGGGAAUUGCGCGCGAAACGGGGGGGGCUUGAGUUCGGGAGAGGAGGCGUGGAAUUCCCAGUGUAGAGGUGAAAUUCGUAGAUAUGGGAAGAACACCGGUGGCGAAGGCGGCGGCUCUGGACCG